rfam:Trichobilharzia regenti genome assembly, scaffold: TRE_scaffold0027274
AAAAAGACGAGUCCCAAAUAGGACGAAAUGCGCAUCCUGGAU